UACAGAGGUGGCAAGCGUUGUUCGGAAUUACUGGGCGUAAAGGGCGCGUAGGCGGCCAUCUAAGUCAGACGUGAAAUCCCCGGGCUCAACCCGGGAACUGCGUCUGAUACUGGAAGGCUUGAAUCCGGGAGAGGGAUGUGGAAUUCCAGGUGUAGCGGUGAAAUGCGUAGAUAUCUGGAGGAACACCGGUGGCGAAGGCGGCAUCCUGGACCGGUAUUGACGCUGAGGCGCGAAAGCCAGGGGAGCAAACAGG
rnacentral:rRNA from 1 species